rnacentral:rRNA from 1 species
UACGGAGGGUGCAAGCGUUGCUCGGAAUUAUUGGGCGUAAAGGGUGACUAGGUGGUCUCGCAUGUCUAGGGUGAAAUCCUGAAGCUUAACUUCAGACGUGCCUUAGAAACUGCGAGACUGGAGUACUGGAGAGGGUAGUGGAAUUCCCGGUGUAGCGGUGAAAUGCGUAGAGAUCGGGAGGAACACCAGAGGCGAAGGCGGCUACCUGGACAGUUACUGACACUAAAUCACGACAGCGUGGGGAGCAAACAGG